UACGUAGGGGGCUAGCGUUGUCCGGAAUCAUUGGGCGUAAAGAGCGUGUAGGCGGCCCGGUAAGUCCGCUGUGAAAGUCGGGGGCUCAACCCUCGGAUGCCGGUGGAUACUGUCGGGCUCGAGUACGGAAGAGGCGAGUGGAAUUCCUGGUGUAGCGGUGAAAUGCGCAGAUAUCAGGAGGAACACCUAUUGCGAAGGCAGCUCGCUGGGACGUUACUGACGCUGAGACGCGAAAGCGUGGGUGGCAAACAGG
rnacentral:rRNA from 1 species